GGUAGAAUGGCUGAUGAAAGUGAUAAAUUGUAAGUUUAUAAAUAAGAUUAAUUUCUUUUUUACC
rnacentral:tRNA from 1 species